rnacentral:rRNA from 1 species
UACGUAGGGUGCGAGCGUUGUCCGGAAUUACUGGGCGUAAAGAGCUCGUAGGUGGUUUGUCGCGUUGUCCGUGAAAACUCACAACUCAAUUGUGGGCGUGCGGGCGAUACGGGCAGACUGGAGUACUGCAGGGGAGACUGGAAUUCCUGGUGUAGCGGUGGAAUGCGCAGAUAUCAGGAGGAACACCGGUGGCGAAGGCGGGUCUCUGGCAGUGAACUGACGCUGAGGAGCGAAAGCGUGGGGAGCGAACAGG